rnacentral:rRNA from 1 species
UGACUGGAAAACUGUCUCGAGGACUCGCUCGGUGAAAAUGCACUUCCGGUGAAGAUGCCGGAUACCUGUAGUUAGACGAAAAGACCCCAGGAGCUUUACUACAGCUUCGUAUUGGCAUUGCGUGCUGCAUGCGUAGCAUAGGUGGGAGACUUUGAAGCAUCGGUUUCGGCUGGUGUGGAGUCAACAGUGAAAUACCACUCUUGUUGUGUGCAAUGUCUAACCCUGUUGGGAUCCAACAGGGGACCGUGCGUGGCAGGUAGUUUUGGUGGGGCGCUAUCCUCGACUUAGCGCCCAUCCGACCAACUAAUAGAAAAACAGGAAAAUAUAAAAAGGGGGACUGCGCAGAGAAAUCUGCAUAAGCAAUCUGGCUAAAUGCUGGAACAUCCGAGUAUCUUCAAGUACUCGCCGAAACGCAGUGAAAAUCUUGAAGUGCGGACAAUCAGCAGGGAAGGCCUAGCACUUUGAGAUAGUGGCAAACGAGUUUUGCCACCUUUUCAAAGUGCUGGGAACCCUCAGAGACUACACGCCAGACCCGAGCCCAUUCCAAAAAAUAGGCUCGGUGAAGAUAUAGUCCGAUCUGCAUGGCGACAUGCAGGCGCAAUUGCUUCCGUGAUUGCGCAGAAAGUUAGGACACUGGGUGUCCUAACUUGAACAUAAAGCCUAAAAAGUAACGGAGGAGUCUAUUAAGGUUCUCUAGGCGCGAAUGGAAACCGUGCCGAUAGUGUAAUGGCAGAAGAGAGCUUAACUGCGAGGGGUACAUCCCAAGCAGAUGCGAAAGCAGAGCAUAGUGAACCGAUGGUACGCCUUAGAUGCGGCCAGAGAUUAACGGAUAUAAGUUACCCUGGGGAUGGACUCUGAAAUAAGAGUUUGUUGUCCUCCCGCGGAGUAAUCCGCGGAUAUAAGAACGGCUUAUAACGGUGAACGGGGAACGAAAGUUUUCUGAAUACCGUGGGAAGUCGUGAGUGAUAGAAUAAAAUUAUGAAUCUGACAAGAAACCAAGAAGCAAUAUUGGUAGGGAGCGUCCUUGGGGACGCGUUCCUACAGAAGACCGGGGUGCGGAAUGCGCGCUUGCGGUUUGAACAUGGCGCGAAACAGAAGGAGUAUCUACUUUGGAAAGUGAAGGCGCUCAUGCGUCUCUUCCAAGGUAAGCCUACUCAUCUCGCACGCGUGCAUCCUAAAACCAAGGCGACUUACAAAUACUGGCGUGCGCAGUCAAAUGCGACUCCAGAAAUAGGGAAGUUGCGUACCAUUUUUUACCCGGAAGGGAAGAAACGGAUACCUACUGACAUAGCGAAGUUCUUAAAAGAACCACUCGCGCUCGCGGUCUGGUAUAUGGAUGAUGGAUAUUAUUAUCCAAAAGAUAAAAACAGCUUCUUGUAUCUUGGCAGAGUUUCUAGCGCAGAAGCAGAAUACGCGCGCGGAGCGUUGGUCAAAAAUUUUGGACUGGCACCGCGCGUGUAUGACAAGAAGCAGAAGGGGUUUGCCCUUUACUUCGGAGUUGCUGAAGCGAAGAAAUUACAUAAUGUGGUGCGACGACAUAUGUUGUUGCCACUAUUCGCCUACAAAUUAGGCGACACUCAUUGACCCCGUAACGACUUGCGUACUUAUUGUACGCGGAGCGCGGAACCUGAGACUCGUGGAAGCGAGUCUCUGCCAAACAAGGUUCCAAAGCUAAGACGCCGUCCCCGCCAACAUUCUUUCGCAAGAAAGUUUGGGCGGGUGAAGAUAUAGUCUAAUCUAGCCAUGCCCAAGAAAUUGAACAGGCUAGUUCCGCCCAAGCGUCCUUAGCGACGGCGGAGUUCGGCACCUCGAUGUCGGCUCACCAUAGCGCGGGGCUGGAGAAAACGUAACUUCUCUCCUUGUCGGAAACGGCGAGGUAACUAAACAAGCUCAAAACGGUGAAGGCUGACUCAUGCACAGCGACCUCAAGUUUCGGAGGUCCCAGGUCUGGUAGACUUGAUGUAUGAGAGCUAACGCCGUGGGAAAGAGUUGUUCUGAAGUCGAACGAGCAUAUAUUGCCGGAUUUCUUGAUGCUGAUGGCGCCAUCAUGGCAGUCAUAGAAAAGCACAAAGAGAAACGGUUUGGAUUUCGUGUGCGUGUUGCGCUCAAGGUGACGCAACGCGAUCGCGAGAUUCUUGAUUGGAUACAGCGUACGUUACGCGUCGGAAUUGUACGAGCAAAUCGUCUUGGCGAUACGCGUCAGACAUUUGACCUACACAUUCGCGAUCGCAGUGACGUUCGUAAAAUUCUCGAAAUGUUGAUGCCACACCUGCGGGUAAAGACUGCGCAGGCACGCAUCGCUAUACAGAUACUUGGUAGUGAUAUCAAGUCCGAACAAGAUUUAAUCCGUACCGCUCGUUUGGCAGAUUCUUUUUCUCGGUUCAACGUACGGUCCAAGAACCGACGAAAGAACUUUGUUUCAAAGAUCCAAGAGCAUCUCUCCCCUAACGACUGAUCGUGUGGAUUUUGGUCCACACGUGAGAUAUGCCAGCAGUAAGCGGCGGGGUAUCACACGGCUUGCACCUAUCGUUGCAGUGGUGACAUUGCAACAACGGUGAUGGAAUAGUCUGAUACUCGCGGGAACGCGAGAGAACAAAGAAAUGAGGUCCCAAGCGUUUGGCUGUUCGCCAAUUAAAAUGGUACGCGAGCUGGGUUCAAACCGUGCAGCACGUCAUAGCAAGGCCUCUCAUAGCAAGGCCUCGCCUUGCUAUGGUAGAUUGCACGGUUUGAACCCACGAGGAAUUGUUAGGUACGUGGAGACGUACUGUGCUUAGACAUACUUACGGCGGUCGCAUACAGGAAUGUAUGCGAAGAAAUCAACUUAUAUCGGUGAAAUCCAAUCGCGUUGUGUACGCGAGGACAACACCGAGGGAACCCGACCACAUUUUCAAAGUGUGACGGGGCCCGUAGAGACUGAAUGUUGAUAUUCCAGAACGGAAUAAGUUACAGUCCGAUCCUCCGAGUAAUCGGAGUUAAUCCCGUUAGAGAUAAGAACUUUUAAGUUCUGGCUCGCUAUAGCGAGCAUCUCUAACGGGAUAAACGUAGAUGCGUGAGACAGGUUGGUCUCCUAUCUACUAUGGGCGUUGAUUCUUGAGGAGGCUUGGUCCCAGUACGAGAGGACCGGACUGAACUGACCUCUGGUCUACCAGCUGUCCUGCCAAGGGCACCGCUGGGUAGC